ACUGUGAAACCUCGACGCCAGUUGGGGCGGAGUCGUUGUUGAAAUACCACUCUGAUCGUAUUGGGCAUCUAACCUCGAACCCUGAAUCGGGUUUAGGGACAGUGCCUGGCGGGUAGUUUAACUGGGGCGGUUGCCUCCUAAAAUGUAACGGAGGCGCCCAAAGGUUCCCUCAACCUGGACGGCAAUCAGGUGGCGAGUGUAAAUGCACAAGGGAGCUUGACUGCGAGACUUACAAGUCAAGCAGGGACGAAAGUCGGGAUUAGUGAUCCGGCACCCCCGAGUGGAAGGGGUGUCGCUCAACGGAUAAAAGGUACCCCGGGGAUAACAGGCUGAUCUUCCCCAAGAGUCCAUAUCGACGGGAUGGUUUGGCACCUCGAUGUCGGCUCGUCGCAUCCUGGGGCUGGAGCAGGUCCCAAGGGUUGGGCUGUUCGCCCAUUAAAGCGGCACGCGAGCUGGGUUUAGAACGUCGUGAGACAGUUCGGUCUCUAUCCGCCGCGCGCGUCAGAAACUUGAGGAAACCUGUCCCUAGUACGAGAGGACCGGGACGGACGAACCUCUGGUGCACCAGUUGUCCCGCCAGGGGCACCGCUGGAUAGCCACGUUCGGUCAGGAUAACCGCUGAAAGCAUCUAAGCGGGAAACCUUCUCCAAGAUCAGGUUUCUCACCCACUUGGUGGGAUAAGGCCCCCCGCAGAACACGGGUUCAAUAGGUCAGACCUGGAAGCUCAGUAAUGGGUGUAGGGAACUGGUGCUAACCGGCCGAAAACUUACAACA
rnacentral:rRNA from 1 species